rnacentral:rRNA from 1 species
CCUACGGGCGGCUGCAGUGGGGAAUAUUGGACAAUGGGGGCAACCCUGAUCCAGCCAUGCCGCGUGUGUGAAGAAGGCCCUCGGGUUGUAAAGCACUUUCAGUGAGGAAGAACGCCUGGUGGUUAAUACCCAUCAGGAAAGACAUCACUCACAGAAGAAGCACCGGCUAACUCCGUGCCAGCAGCCGCGGUAAUACGGAGGGUGCGAGCGUUAAUCGGAAUUACUGGGCGUAAAGCGCGCGUAGGUGGCUUGAUAAGCCGGUUGUGAAAGCCCCGGGCUCAACCUGGGAACGGCAUCCGGAACUGUCAAGCUAGAGUGCAGGAGAGGAAGGUAGAAUUCCCGGUGUAGCGGUGAAAUGCGUAGAGAUCGGGAGGAAUACCAGUGGCGAAGGCGGCCUUCUGGACUGACACUGACACUGAGGUGCGAAAGCGUGGGUAGCAAACAGGAUUAGAUACCCCUGUAGUC